GCCUACGGCCAUACCAGUCUGAAAGUGUCUGAUCUCGUCAGAUCUCAGAAGUUAUGCAGACUUGGGUCUGAUUAGUACUUGUAUGGGAGACCAACUAGGGACCCCAGGUGCUGUAAGCU
rnacentral:rRNA from 1 species